GGAUCAAUAUGUCGGUCGUGCUUCGGCACGUACUGGUAUCAUUGGUUUCUCCUUUCUGACGAACCAUGAUGUCAUUAAUUUGGUGUUUUGGGGAAUUUGGACUGUUACUUUGAAAAAAUUAGAGUGUUUAAAGCAAGCUAACGCUUGAAUACAUUAGCAUGGAAUAACGGAAUAGGACGUGCGGUUCUAUUUUGUUGGUUUCUAGAGUCGCCGUA
rnacentral:rRNA from 1 species